GGAAUCUUAAAUACCUUUCAUCCUCAUCUUCUGAAACCAUGAAUCCUUCAUCUCCUUCCGAAAGACCCAAUUCCCCCUCCGAUGACGAGGGUCGUUCAUGGGUCGACUUAUGCACUCACCCGAACGAUAUUGCGAGUCUCCACUAUAGGACCACUUGUACCCUCCAGUCUCUUAAUUGGCUAGGGAUCUAUGUCGCAUUCUAGCUGAAGUUAUGGUAGAGUCAAUGACCCCAUUUCCCAUUGAAUCGUCGAAGAAUCAUCGUCCGCGAUACUUUUGCGUUUACGAGAUUUACUUUAAAGGAUAGAGAUUGACUCUCUCGCUUCCUGAAGCCUUAGUUCGGUUCCUGGCGGCCAUUGGAAUCGCUCUUCCUCAGCUGACCCCAACCUUCUCAAGACGAUUUUGGAAAUUAUCACAGUAGCAGUUGAUAAUAGGUUUUUAGUCAAUUAUCCUAAAACACCAAUCAUGUCGUUGUAGUAUUUUAGGUUGUCAAUCCAAAUGGGUGUGAUGCUAACAAUCAAGAUGUGAUCAGAAGUCACUAAGUCAAGCCAAGCAAUAACAGGUUUUGGUGUGUUCUAACAGUCCUAAGUGAACAUGCAGAAAACAGAAAAUCAAACAGAAACAGUGAAACACUCGACCAACACAGCUCUUUGCAGAGCACUAAUACUUAGGACUGUUAAAAUGUCUAGAACACAAGGUCUGCGGAAUAAAACUAGAUAAAAACUUCUUGUCUGCGAAAAUGUGAAGUACAUGCUACUUAUAGCCAAAUAUUCCGAAACCCUAAUACUUAAAACGACGAAGUAUUGGGACGGAUUAAGAACUGUACUCGACCCAUGUGGUCGAGUGGGAGGUCGAGUGAAUAGCUGGAGUCUUCUUUUCUUCCUUGUGCUCGAGUGUCUUGUUGAGUGCGGAAUGAAGAAGGCUCUGAAGCUUGUCAUCGAGUAUGUAGUCGAGUGGUGUUGAUGGUGAUACUCGACUUCCAGGUGGAGUGAUGAGGUCGAGUAGUGGUCUGGCAAUGGGAUGAAGACACUCGACCUCGGGGUCGAGUGAUGUGAUUGAGUGGUGGUCAGGAGAUGGAGAUGAAGACACUCGACCUGGUGGUCGAGUGGUGAGGUGAAUUGGUGAUGUCUUCUACUCGACCUGGGGGUCGAGUGGUCUCUUGAGAUCUUGAAGCUCCUACUCGACCUCUGGGUCGAGUGGUUUGUCAUGAUCAGGUCCGCUUCUUCCAGUUAGCUCGUCGACAGCUCCAAAUCACCUGAAAACAACACAAAUAUGUAACAUGCAUGCAAAACUAUCCUAAACAUGCAAAGUGAUGACAAAUGAUGUGAAAUGGUAUAAAAAAGUGAUGAUAUUAUGCUAAAGUGAUGACAAAUGGAUGCUCAAAACAUUCAAAAUACACACUUAUCAACUCCCCCAAACUUAGUCUUUGCUUGCCCUCAAGCAAACAAUCAAGAACAAGCUGGAGGUGAGGUUUGAAAGCGGGGACUCAGAGCCAAAGCACCAGAUAACCAGAUGAAAUCAAUGU
rnacentral:sRNA from 1 species